GCCGGGCUAGCUCAGUCGGUAGAGCGCGGGACUCUUAAUCCCGUGGUCGAGGGUUCGAGCCCCUCGUUCGGUG